rnacentral:rRNA from 1 species
GACAGAGGGGGCAAGCGUUGCUCGGAAUCACUGGGCGUAAAGGGCGCGUAGGCGGCAUGACAAGUCACUUGUGAAAUCUCCGGGCUUAACUCGGAACGGCCAAGUGAUACUGUCGCGCUAGAGUGCGGAAGGGGCAAUCAGAAUUCUUGGUGUAGCGGUGAAAUGCGUAGAUAUCAAGAGGAAUACCUGAGGUGAAGACGGGUUGCUAGGCCGACACUGACGCUGAGUGCGCGAAAGCCAGGGGAGCAAACGGG